UACAAACGAAAGUCUUUUAAUUAAAAACCUCUUUGGAGGUCCCUCAAUGAUUUGUGACGUUUGUAGUAAUUGUGAAGAUCAUCCACCGGUAACUGGCUCGCACCGAAUCAGUCGAAGUCGAAGUUUUCGUACUCCCGCGGCUCUCACUUCAAUUUUCUGUAAUUUUUACUCAACUACAAACGAAAAUCUUUUCACUCAAACCUCUAUAGAGGUCCCUCAAUCAUUUUAGACGUAUG
rnacentral:misc_RNA from 1 species